CGGGGCGUAGCGCAGUCUGGUAGCGCACCUGUAUGGGGUGCAGGUGGUCGGAGGUUCAAAUCCUCCCGUCCCGACCA
rnacentral:tRNA from 1 species